rnacentral:rRNA from 1 species
UGGGGAAUCUUGCGCAAUGGACGAAAGUCUGACGCAGCAACGCCGCGUGAAGGAUGAAGUAUUUCGGUAUGUAAACUUCGAAAGAAUAGGAAGAAUAAAUGACGGUACUAUUUAUAAGGUCCGGCUAACUACGUGCCAGCAGCCGCGGUAAUACGUAGGGACCAAGCGUUGUUCGGAUUUACUGGGCGUAAAGGGCGCGUAGGCGGCAUGACAAGUCACUUGUGAAAUCUCUGGGCUUAACCCAGAACGGCCAAGUGAUACUGUCGCGCUAGAGUGCAGAAGGGGCAAUCGGAAUUCUUGGUGUAGCGGUGAAAUGCGUAGAUAUCAAGAGGAACACCUGAGGUGAAGACGGGUUGCUGGGCUGACACUGACGCUGAGGCGCGAAAGCCAGGGGAGCAAACGGGAUUAGAUACCCAAGUAGUCCCUGAGCGGGCUGGCAAGGCGCAU